rnacentral:rRNA from 1 species
CACAAGCAGUGGAGUAUGUGGUUAAUUCGACGCAACGCGAAGAACCUUACCAGGGCUUGACAUCCCCUGACCGCGUAUCGAAGUACGUUUUCACCUCGGGUGACAGGGAGACAGGUGGUGCAUGGUUGUCGUCAGCUCGUGUCGUGAGAUGUUGGGUUAAGUCCCGCAACCGAGCGCAACCCCUACGUUUAGUUGCUAACGCGUGAAGGCGAGCACUCUAGACGAACUGCCGUUGACAAAACGGAGGAAGGUGGGAUGACGUCAAAUCAUCAUGCCCCUUAUGUUCUGGGCUACACACGUGCUACAAUGGCCGGUACAGACGGACGCAAAGCCGCGAGGUGGAGCAAAUCCUAAAAAGCCGGUACUCAGUUCGGAUUGCAGGCUGCAAUUCGCCUGCAUGAAGUCGGAAUCGCUAGUAAUCGCAGGUCAGCAUACUGCGGUGAAUACGUUCCCGGGCCUU